rnacentral:rRNA from 1 species
AUACGUAGGGGGCAAGCGUUGUCCGGAAUUAUUGGGCGUAAAGGGCGAGUAGGCGGUAGAGUAAGUCAGAUGUGAAAACUUAGGGCUUAACCCUAAGGUUGCAUAUGAAACUGCUUUACUUGAGUACUGGAGAGGUAAGCGGAAUUCCUAGUGUAGCGGUGAAAUGCGUAGAUAUUAGGAGGAACACCAGUGGCGAAGGCGGCUUACUAGACAGAUACUGACGCUGAGGCGCGAAAGCGUGGGUAGCGAACAGGAUUAGAUACCCUGGUAGUCCACGCCGUAAACGAUGAAUGCUAGGUGUUGGGGAGACUCAGUGCCGUAGUAAACGCAAUAAGCAUUCCGCCUGGGGAGUACGGUCGCAAGACUUAA